rnacentral:rRNA from 1 species
GAUGAACGCUGGCGGCGUGCCUAAUACAUGCAAGUCGAGCGAACGGACGAGAAGCUUGCUUCUCUGAUGUUAGCGGCGGACGGGUGAGUAACACGUGGAUAACCUACCUAUAAGACUGGGAUAACUUCGGGAAACCGGAGCUAAUACCGGAUAAUAUUUUGAACCGCAUGGUUCAAAAGUGAAAGACGGUCUUGCUGUCACUUAUAGAUGGAUCCGCGCUGCAUUAGCUAGUUGGUAAGGUAACGGCUUACCAAGGCAACGAUGCAUAGCCGACCUGAGAGGGUGACGGCCCACAGGGGAACGGAGACCGGGUCACGACUCCGAGGGGGGGCAGCAGGGGGGAAUCUUCCGCAGGGGGGGAAGGCCGGACGGAGCAGCGCGGGGGGAGUGAGGAAGGUCUUGGGAUCGUAAAACUUUGUUAUGGGGGAAAAAAAUUUGUGAAAGAAACUGGGCACUUUUGGACGGUCCCUAAUAAGAAACCCACGGCUAACUCCGUG